GCUACCGGCACAGCUCAGUCGGGAGAGCACGAGGCUCUCGAUCGCAGGGUUGUGGGUUCGAGUCCUGCGCUGGGCA